UACGAGGGGGGCAAGCGUUGUUCGGAAUUAUUGGGCGUAAAGGGUGCGUAGGCGGUGCGGUAAGUCUGUUGUGAAAUCUCCGGGCUCAACUCGGAGUCUGCAUCAGAAACUGCCGUGCUGGAGUGUGGGAGAGGUGAGUGGAAUUCCCGGUGUAGCGGUGAAAUGCGCAGAUAUCGGGAAGAACACCCGUGGCGAAGGCGGCUCUCUGGGACGGUACUGACGCUGAGACGCGAAAGCGUGGGGAGCGAACAGG
rnacentral:rRNA from 1 species